AACACGUAGGUAACCUGCCCAGAAGCGGGGGACAACAUUUGGAAACAGAUGCUAAUACCGCAUAACAACGUUGUUCGCAUGAACAACGCUUAAAAGAUGGCUUCUCGCUAUCACUUUUGGAUGGACCUGCGGUGCAUUAGCUUGUUGGUAGGGUAAUGGCCUACCAAGGCGAUGAUGCAUAGCCGAGUUGAGAGACUGAUCGGCCACAAUGGGACUGAGACACGGCCCAUACUCCUACGGGAGGCAGCAGUAGGGAAUCUUCCACAAUGGGCGCAAGCCUGAUGGAGCAACACCGCGUGAGUGAAGAAGGGUUUCGGCUCGUAAAGCUCUGUUGUUAAAGAAGAACACGUAUGAGAGUAACUGUUCAUACGUUGACGGUAUUUAACCAGAAAGUCACGGCUAACUACGUGCCAGCAGCCGCGGUAAUACGUAGGUGGCAAGCGUUAUCCGGAUUUAUUGGGCGUAAAGAGAGUGCAGGCGGUUUUCUAAGUCUGAUGUGAAAGCCUUCGGCUUAACCGGAGAAGUGCAUCGGAAACUGGAUAACUUGAGUGCAGAAGAGGGUAGUGGAACUCCAUGUGUAGCGGUGGAAUGCGUAGAUAUAUGGAAGAACACCAGUGGCGAAGGCGGCUACCUGGUCUGCAACUGACGCUGAGACUCGAAAGCAUGGGUAGCGAACAGGAUUAGAUACCCUGGUAGUCCAUGCCGUAAACGAUGAGUGCUAGG
rnacentral:rRNA from 1 species